UCCCUGGUGGCUCAGACAGUAAAGCAUCUGCCUGCAAUGCGGGAGACCCGGGUUCAAUCCCUGGGUUGGGAA
rnacentral:tRNA from 1 species